CACAAGCACAGGCACUAGCACAAUAAAUUUUGCAAAGGACCAACGGUUUUUCAAAUGAGUUUCAUAGUCUGUAAUUUUUGUGAUUUUAUCCAGGAAAUAUAGGAGCUGUGGUGAUGAAAUUUUCCAACACAAAAGAAAAAUACAUAGGAGCAGUACGGUAAUCAAAUACUGGCUGAAGUCUCCAAAAACUCGGUUUACCAGCAAAGAGAAAUCUAAAAAUGUUCAAACACCGGAUCCUGGAGGAAAAUCUGAAUGCUA
rnacentral:lncRNA from 1 species